CCGCAAGAUCACCACCUGAGCUGAUAUCAAGAGCUGACCACUUAAUCUACUGAGCUACCCAGGUAUCUCCUGCCUCCAGUCAUCUGGUUUUUCAUAAAUGGCUUUAGAGCUGAAUAUUUACAAACUGGAGUCUUUAAUGUUCAAUAUUCAUAAACAGCCUAUGCCUCCAACAAACAGUGAUACGAAAACAAAACAUAAAUGCCUACUUAAUAGAACUCUAGAUGAUAGCCCUUCCUUGUCUGACCUCUGGAUUUAUGGUUCGUCAGGCUAGGCUGUCUCCCAGACCGGCUAAUUUGACUGUAAAGUCUCUUUUCAGUAGAGACCAGUUUUCUUGCACUAGUUUAAUUCUUUCUUAGUCGCCAGUCUACCUAGACUUUUCUUCUUUCUCUUUCAAUUGAUUACAACUUCACUGUCCUGUGGAAAUCUCUUUGUUUACUGCUGUGGAAAUCCAGGGGGGCCAGAACCGGGAACAUGGCUCUCAGCAACGCUGGGUCCUGCAGCAGACGGGUAAACUGACCAGACCUUGCAUAUGCCCUAACCUGAGGUUGGAACUACUCCUGCCCCCAUCUCUCUGUGUGCCUACCCUCAGAAAAACAGAUUACAAAUGUGGGCACCAGAAUCAGAUUGCCUGGACCCGAUCUCCUCCUGGCCAAGCAAGAGUUACUUAACAUUUUUUGGCCUCACACUCUUCAUCUAUAAAACAGGAUAAAAAUAGUUUCUAUCUGA